CCCUUAGAUGUUCUGGGCUGCACGCGCGCUACACUGAAGCUAUCAACACGUUUUCCCUCCCUGAGAAGGGCGGGUAACCUUUUGAAUCAGCUUCGUGGUAGGGAUCGGGGCUUGCAAUUGUUCUCCGUGAACCAGGAAUUCCUAGUAGACGCGAGUCAUAAGCUCGCAUCGAUUAAGUCCCUGCCCUUUGUACACACCGCCCGUCGCUACUACCGAUUGAACGUUUUAGUGAGGCAUUUGGACCGACGCAUCUCAGUUUAACCGCUGGUUUGUGUUGGAAAGACUUCCAAACUUGAGCGUUUAGAGGAAGUAAAAGUCGUAACA
rnacentral:rRNA from 1 species